GGAUUCCACCCCCGCGGCUCGGCCCAAGCUGCUCUACCUGUCGCUCCAUCGUCUCCCCAACUCCCCAGCGCCCCGGGCCCUCUUUCCUCUUACCCUCGUUUCUCACCUUUCACCCUGUCCCUCGGCCCGCUUUUCCCCUCCCCGCUCUGUCCUGUCGUUUUCUUAACACUCUUCACACGCGCACUUCCUCCUCCUCCUCUUCUCUUUUUCCCACCCCUACCUUUGGGCCCUCCUUCCUUAACCUCCGCUGGCCCCCCAUUCCAUGAUCCGUCCACCUGACACGCUGGGUUUCAUGCCUCUCUUUCCCAGGCUGUGGGUUGUGCCCUUCACUCCUUGCCCUCCUCCAUUCCCUGUCCUGAUCUGAACUCCUCUCCUUGCCACGCUCCCUCACCCUUAUCCCUCUGCACACUCCAAAAUUUUUAAAGAAAAAGGAGAGAGAGAAAAAAAAGUAAAAGAAAAGAAACCCAAAAGGGAAAAUAUAGCUAAGGUGAACUGCAAAACCAUAUUCCUGCUGCUGUCAGUUAUGAUGCACUGAGAAAACUUCAGAGACCUAAACUUUUUCCAGAGAAGAGAAGCUUUACUGGUGUUCCAGCCCUAAGAAACCUUUGUUCAAGAAAACGGCAGAUGCUCUGUUGAAUCCACUGGAGAUUGUUCUGAUACUAAGGACAAGUAUCAACCAUCUUUCCUGUGAAAAAUUCCCUCUCGUACUUUAGUUCUGUGGAUCCAAAAUUUAUAGCAUUCUUCUACCACCACAGGGGCUCAUAUGACAUUAACAGACAAGACACUUUUCAGAAAGACAGGCAACGUGUUGGACCUUCCGGAGCUUCUCAGAAGACAGAGGGUUUUCUUUUGAGGAUUUAAACCUCAGACACAGGGAGCUGACCUAUUCACCUUAGAAUCCUCUGGGGCACCCAUUACAGUGUCUGUACCAAGGAGGCAACAAAGAACGGCGGAACAGACUGGAGCAGAAGGACCACCCAGCAGAGCCAAGCCAAAUCACUGACCCUCAGAGGCCUGAUGUGAAUGCUUAUGGCUUCAGUCCAUUGGAUUCUGCAGUAAUCUGCCGAUCUACAGUAUUACCACAGUAAAUAACCGAUAGACCUGAAAACGAAUGCAUGCCUUGUGCCAAAAUUGCAGGAAACCUCACCAGGAGAAACAAUUUUAUAUGAGGGAAUGUACUCUCUCCUUUGCAUUUUCCCUCAAAUCUAUAUUUUUAGCCCCUCACUUGUCUCUACAGAGCCUCAGUUGCUUAAUCUAAUUGCUGACUGAACAUCUCCAGGAAACUGUGUGUACGUGUUUGUAUUCAUAGUAUAUUUAUUUAUUAUCUGUUUACUUCCAUGGGAUAUAGUCUCCAUAAGAGAGUAGUCAUCAUUGUAUUUGUUGAUGCUUAAUAAAUAAUCAUUGAAUGGG
rnacentral:lncRNA from 1 species